rnacentral:tRNA from 17 species
GCCUGGGUAGCUUAGCGGUAAAGCGCGUCCUUGGUAAGGACGAGACCGGGGGUUCAAAUCCCCCCUCAGGCU